CACCGUUGGCAACGACCGCAGCGCCCUCUACUAAGUAUAAAAUUAACGCGCAACGUUGAAGCAGUAGUCACUUCAGGUCUGCCUUUUGCCCCGUUCACGUGGUGUGCUAGAGGCUAAAACAAAAUGGCCGCGGAUCUCAGUGCUCGUGAUGUCGAGAGGGUGAAAUUCGCCUUCUCCAUCUAUGACUUCGAGGGUAAUGGCACCAUGGACGCCUACUACAUUGGCGAUUGCCUGCGUGCCCUUAACCUGAACCCGACCCUGGCCGUGAUCGAGAAGGUCGGAGGCAAGGAGAAGAGGAAGGAGAAGAUGAUUAAGCUCGAUGAAUUCAUGCCCAUCUUCGCCCAGGUCAAGAAGGACAAGGAUGCCGGCUCCUUCGAAGAUUUCAUGGAAGUCCUCAAGCUUUACGACAAAGCUGAGAACGGCACCAUGAUGUAUGCUGAGCUUGAGCACAUCCUCCUGUCCCUUGGUGAGCGUCUUGAGAAGGCCGAGUUGGAGCCCGUCCUUAAGGAGUGCUGCCCAGAGGAAGAUGAAGAAGGUUGCAUUCCCUACGAACCUUUCCUUGUGAAGCUCUGCAAAGACAUCAAGUAAAAAAAAGGACAGAUAAUCAAGCCGUUCCUUAAGAGACUUUUGGCCUUCAAAAUCUAGAGGAAACGUAUACUUUCCUCAAGAAGAUCACCCAACUGCUCUAAACGUCAACCAUCUUCUUUUGUGACGUCAUCACCAGGGAGUGCACAUGCGUACAACACCACUACCAUUCGGAGUGACCGCGCGUGCAGUGUACAAUCAUUCUGUGGGAGUGACCAAACCACAGACAGUACAUUAGUUCCAAAAAUAAUAUGUUAAUAUAUGCCAAAAUGUAUGAAAAAUCAUAGAAAGUGCUUCCUACGAAAAGAAUGGGAAACACAAGCUUAAACGAAAAAAAAAAUGUGAGGCACCCAUUACAUGCUCAUUAUGUCCUUCUUGUCCGUAUGUGUGUGUGUUCGUGUAGUGUCGGGUCCCAUGGAUCUGUUGAGCGUUUUCUCUCAUCCACACGGGGUGUCGAGGGGCCGAGGUAUCCGUGACCGCCUCAACCUGUAGACCUGAAGUGACCACUGAAUGAUCCGCAGUUAGCCACCUGCUCGCUCUCACCACCUGUCCGAGGCGGGGACUAACAGCCAUUGACGAAAGAGCGACCGACCGCCUGCCCGACCCGAUCACCAUCCUGACGACCAUCUCAAUCUCGACGGGUGCGGGCGUCGGUGCGAGGGAAAGGAGGGGGUCGUCGGAACCUCACCACCUUCUUCCCCCACCCCCUCCUUCUCCCGAUCCGGUCACGCGGUACCUGUUCAGGUCCCUUGUGCCCAAUAGUGCCUCUGCGCCUCGCCCAACUCGUAGCGGCCAGGGGGAGUGCCACAGUCAGCUAGUGCGUCCAUCGAGUGAACAUACAAGGCCCACACAUUAGUCAGUCAGUCAGUCCGAGAAGUCCGCUUAGCAUGGCAUCGUUGCAAACUGCUGUCUGUUGGCACAUUGGUUAAGUAAUCUAUCGUCUCAAUAAAACAAAACAUCUUCUCGACGACUUUUUCUUUGUAUUUCCUCCAUAGCCUACAUGGGGACUCUCCAGCGUGGAUAUGAGAUGAAGUAUGAAAGGUUUUAAUAAACAAAACCAUUUGCA
rnacentral:misc_RNA from 1 species